rnacentral:lncRNA from 1 species
UGGAGGGUCUUCAGGAGUGGCUAGACAUGAACAGAUGUGUAUUUUGAAGGCUCCAUGCAGUAUGAGGAUGGAAGAUGGAUUAGACUGCAGUAAGAUGGGAGACGCCUUCAAGAAACUAUGCAACUGAAUAGCUAACACACACGGCAUCCCUGCCAAUUUGUACUCUCAACCAGCAUUCUACUCUACCUCCUCCAACAAGUGAUGAACUUUCCUGUAUCUGAAGUAGCUGAUGUUUAUUUGUAUAUUCUCAGCCUCCCCUCACGGGAUCAGAGGCUGCUUGUGUUUUGUUCACUGCUGCAUCCCCUGAGCCCUGAGCCUAGAACUAUACCUUAAAAAUGCUUGGCACCUAAUUAAUAUCUGCUCAGUGGAUGAAUGAAUAAACACAAAAAAAGCCUGUGUGCUGUCGGGAGCUAUCAGUCACUGCUUUUGCAUCCUGGGAGGAACUUGGCCUCUGUCCUUCCUACUGCUUCCUCAGAGAGCCUGACCUCAGAACAGGUGUUCAGCUUCUCAUCCAGGCACAACUUGGGACUGUGUCUCCCCUUCUUUGGCGUGGCAUCUUCCUAGAGGCCAUGACCACAGCAUCAACAUAAAACAGCUCUGAAAUCGUGUAAGGCCCAGAAACAAUGUCUGGCAAAUCCUCAAGCUCCCAUUAGCUAAAUGAUAGAAUGGAGCAGCUGCGCUUCAGACCUUAUUCUUAAAUCUGGAAUUGAUGCCAAAUUAACAAUAUUCCAGCCAUUACUCUUCCAGAAAACAGGGUAGAUUUCUUGGCCUAAGUUUUGUCCUCUUGGCAUCAUAUUGCCAAGGAAAAUGUGUCCAGAGAUUUGUCUCCAAAAGCCUGCUGCCUCAGGCUACAAACCGGUCAUUUCAUCAUGCGGAAACUCUUCCUAUUUCUGUCAAUUGUCAUGUUUUGCCUCCUGGCCUUCAGGAUGCCACUAAUGUAUAUGUACCAAAUGGAGUCUGACCCCAGAAUAAAUAUCUGCUGCAGUGAAUUGAAUCUGACAUAUGAUGUUUCCUGCAAUCUAACUUUGUCUAUCUCUUCAUCAACUUCUAUAUCCCUCUCCCAUGAAACUACUUGUAAUUUCCUCCACAUCUAUGCUGCCUCAACUCAGAGCUCUUGCUCAUGCUGCUGCCUCUUCCUGAAAUGCUCAUGAAACUCCCCUCUUUGUCACCUAGCCAAUUUCUAAUAUUCCCCAAUCUCUUGCCAAUGCACCGGUCACUCAUAUCAGCUCAUGGUCAGCCUCGGCACAGUCAUUCAACAUCAUCCACCUACUGGGCGUCUAGGUGCCUUGCAGUGCACCAGGCACCAGGAAGUGUGGUGAUGUCAUAAGAUAAUCAUGGGAAAAUUAUAAGACUUGCUGGCAUCUCCACCAAAAAUCUCUUGUGGAAAAGAUGCUGGAGUUGUACAAAAAUCAGAAUGUGUAGAAUCUGCAAAUUCCUGUGUAUAAAUCCUAUUUGUUUGCAAAUUAAAUUGAAUUUGCUUGGCGGUG